rnacentral:rRNA from 1 species
AUGCAGAUCACUACUCGUGGUACAAAACUUGGCGUGAGCCGCGCCGCCGCCUGCUCAAACGGCAAACCGCUCGAUCGAUCCUCCGUCUCCCCCGACGCCGGCGAUGCGUCGCAUCUCCUCUCCCUCGUCGCCAUCCCUCUCUUCCGUCCUCUCGCGACGACGACUUCUCCCGCCGCCCAAUCCACCCGUCCGUCGUCUCUCCCGGUGGGUUUUCCUCCUCCUCUUCUUCUCGCGCCAGAGUUUUAUUGGUACAACCCCUGCUUGGUUGAUAUAGUUUUGGAUCUAGACUUGCGUAAUCUCCCGGCGGCUCUGUGCAUUAGAGAUGAUCCCAUCAGCGUGGAACAGGGUUCUUCCAUCAGCAUGGUCGGCCCAAAGAGAGGGAUAGAUCUGAGUGGCAACAUUGUAGUCGAAUACGACAUGAGGAUCAAGACAGACGAAGAAGUAAAGCAUGACCUACAACUGAUCGACGGCGCAUCGAUGAUACGCCACAAGGACAUGAGGGAUUGCUGGGCAUUCACGAGUCGUAUCCACGGCAACCACGGCGCAAUAGACCUCACUUUGUCGGCCCUUGAUGAUGCGGUUGAGGCGACCGUGGAAGUCGUCAUAUCGGAAGUGCGGAGCGGCUUCGCUCUGCGCCUUGGGUGCUUCAUUGGUGGGGUGGAAGAGGAGAUCCCAAUCUUCGACGGCGCCAUCGGUAGCGAGGCACAUGGGUUGAAAUUAAAAAGGUUUGUGGUUGCUGUAAUGAUAAGGUCUUGGAUGAAGUUGGAAUUUAAGGUGGCCCCGGAGUCGGCUCGGUGUCAGUUUGCCUUCAUGGCGAACAACCAUGGGGUUUCUUGUGGGAACAUGAAGAUGGAUUUUGCAUUGUUCUCAGUGAAGGUGACAUGGUCGUCUUUGCCUUCGUGGGCACCGAGCUUACACCGGCGGCCCAAGCAUUCAAGCUAG